rnacentral:rRNA from 1 species
UACGUAGGGUGCGAGCGUUAAUCGGAAUUACUGGGCGUAAAGCGUGCGCAGGCGGCAGAGCAAGUCGAGUGUGAAAGCCCCGGGCUUAACUUGGGAAUUGCGCUCGAAACUACUUUGCUGGAGUGUGGCAGAGGAAGGUGGAAUUCCACGUGUAGCGGUGAAAUGCGUAGAGAUGUGGAGGAACACCAAUGGCGAAGGCAGCCUUCUGGGCCAACACUGACGCUCAUGCACGAAAGCGUGGGGAGCAAACAGG